rnacentral:tRNA from 1 species
UGCUGUGGCUCAGUGGCAGAGCACUUGCCUAGCAUGUGUGAGGCACUGGGUUCAAUCCUCAGCACAA